rnacentral:lncRNA from 1 species
AAGAAUCAACAAUUCUCUUUCUAUCUCUCCCGUCUCUUUAUCUACCUCUAUUCUAAACAUAUCUGCAUCGAUAGUAUCCUUUUAUCUUCUUUUUUUCAGUUACUUUUAAUGACUGCCAUAUCGUUUAUCUUUUCCCACUCCGAACAAUGUGCAUGAUUUAUUCUUGGAUCUGCAUUCUUUUCAAACUGGUUCCUAACAUGUAAAUGCAACUGCCUCUUCCCAGAACUGCUGUUUCCUGAAGUUUAGACGUUGGAGAAACUCACAGGUAAACACCACGAGUAUUUAGCUGUGCUAGUCAUAUCAAUGUAGCUUUAAUGGUUACCUCGCAUGUAUGUGUUUAAUUUAACAUGAAAGGUUGAAAUCAUAACUUAUAGGUUUGUUCAUUGUUCUUUCUUUGGUUGUCCUGUUCUGAAUUAUUCAAGUAUUUCCGUGCCUUCUACUGCUUCUUGCGGCUAAGAGAAUUCAAUUCAAGAAACCAUGAUGCAGAGGGUGUAGGAACGUCGUCGUGCCUCUUAAGUUGUCAUGAUCGACCCCACUGAUAAUGUCCCUUUUUAUUGCAGACUUGGCUUCUGGACAACCUAUUCUCUAAAUUACUAAAGCUUCUAGUGAAGACAUGCAAUAUAGCCAUCUGUAUCGAUUACGAACUUACAGGUCAC